CUGGCUCAGGACGAACGUUGGCGGCGUGCCUAAUACAUGCAAGUCGAACGAGGUCUCCUAACUGAU
rnacentral:rRNA from 1 species